rnacentral:rRNA from 1 species
AUUGAACGCUGGCGGCAUGCCUUACACAUGCAAGUCGAACGGCAGCUCGGGUGCUUGCACCUGGUGGCGAGUGGCGAACGGGUGAGUAAUACAUCGGAACAUGUCCUGUAGUGGGGGAUAGCCCGGCGAAAGCCGGAUUAAUACCGCAUACGAUCUACGGAUGAAAGCGGGGGACCUUCGGGCCUCGCGCUAUAGGGUUGGCCGAUGGCUGAUUAGCUAGUUGGUGGGGUAAAGGGCUACCAAGGCGACGAUCAGUAGCUGGUCUGAGAGGACGACCAGCCACACUGGGACUGAGACACGGCCCAGACUCCUACGGGAGGCAGCAGUGGGGAAUUUUGGACAAUGGGCGAAAGCCUGAUCCAGCAAUGCCGCGUGUGUGAAGAAGGCCUUCGGGUUGUAAAGCACUUUUGUCCGGAAAGAAAUCCUUGGCCCUAAUACGGUCGGGGGAUGACGGUACCGGAAGAAUAAGCACCGGCUAACUACGUG